rnacentral:rRNA from 1 species
AUUGAACGCUGGCGGCAGGCCUAACACAUGCAAGUCGAACGAGCGGCGGACGGGUGAGUAAUGUCUGGGAAACUGCCUGAUGGAGGGGGAUAACUCCUGGAAACGGUAGCUAAUACCGCAUACUAUCGGAUGUCCCCAUAUGGGAUUAGCUAGUAGGUGGGGUAAAGGCUCACCUAGGCGACGAUCCCUAGCUGGUCUGAGAGGAUGACCAGCCACACUGGGACUGAGACACGGGCCAGACUCCUACGGGAGGCAGCAGUGGGGAAUAUUGCACAAUGGGCGCAAGCCUGAUGCAGCCAUGCCGCGUGUAUGAAGAAGGCCUUAGGGUUGUAAAGUACUUUCAGCGGGGAGGCGUUACCAGCAGAAGAAGCACCGGCUAACUCCGUGCCAGCAGCCGCGGUAAUAC